rnacentral:rRNA from 1 species
GAAACGACUGCUAAGACUGGAUAGGAAAAGUAAAGGCAUCUUUACUUUUUUAAAAGACCUUCUUUGAAGGUAUGCUUAAGGAGGGGCUUGCGACACAUUAGUUAGUUGGCAGGGUAAAGGCCUACCAAGACUAUGAUGUGUAGCUGGACUGAGAGGUUGAACAGCCACAUUGAGACUGAGACACGGCCCAAACUCCUACGGGAGGCAGCAGUAGGGAGUUUUCGGCAAUGGAGGAAACUCUGACCGAGCAACGCCGCGUGAACGAUGAAGUACCUCGGUAUGUAAAGUUCUUUUAUUAAGGAAGAAAAAAGAGUGGAAAAACUCCCUUGACGGUACUUAAUGAAUAAGCCCCGGCUAAUUAUGUGCCAGCAGCCGCGGUAAUACAUAAGGGGCGAGCGUUAUCCGGAAUUAUUGGGCGUAAAGGGUGCGUAGGCGGUUUAAUAAGUCUAUAGUUUAAUUUCAGUGCUUAACGCUGUUGUGCUAUAGAAACUGUUUUACUAGAGUGAGUUAGAGGCAAGCGGAAUUCCAUGUGUAGCGAUAAAAUGCGUAAAUAUAUGGAGGAACACCAGAGGCGUAGGCGGCUUGCUGGGACUUUACUGACGCUGAGGCACGAAAGCGUGGGGAGCAAACAGGAUUAGAUACCCUGGUAGUCCACGCCGUAAACGAUGAGUACUAAGUGUCGGGUAAAACCGGUACUGAAGUUAACACAUUAAGUACUCCGCCUGAGUAGUACGUACGCAAGUAUGAAACUUAAAGGAAUUGACGGGACUCCGCACAAGCGGUGGAUCAUGUUGUUUAAUUCGAAGAUACACGAAAAACCUUACCAGGUCUUGACAUUUUCUUGCGAAGUUAUAGAAAUAUAAUGGAGGUUAUCAGGAAAACAGGUGGUGCAUGGUUGUCGUCAGCUCGUGUCGUGAGAUGUUAGGUUAAGUCCUAAAACGAGCGCAACCCUUGUCGUUAAUUGCCAGCAUGUAAUGAUGGGGACUUUAACGAGACUGCCAAUGAAAAAUUGGAGGAAGGUGGGGAUUACGUCAAAUCAUCAUGCCCCUUAUGAUCUGGGCUACAAACGUGAUACAAUGGUUGAUACAAAGAGUAGCUGAAACGUGAGUUCUUAGCCAAUCUCACAAAAUCAAUCUCAGUUCGGAUUGAAGUCUGCAACUCGACUUCAUGAAGUUGGAAUCGCUAGUAAUCGCGAAUCAGCAUGUCGCGGUGAAUACGUUCUCGGGGUUUGUACACACCGCCCGUCA